UGUGUGUGUGUGUGUGUGCAUGUGUGUGCGUGUGUGUGUGUGAGUUCGUGGGGGAGGUGGGAGGUCCAUCCUGCCUGCUUUCACCGAGUUGUGGAGUAAAUCAGCAGUAAUGAGGAAGAGGAGGAAUACCUCGGCGUCAUAACAGACUGCAGAAACCUUUACCAGAAAAGUGCACCGAUGCACACAGGUGGAGCAGUAUCGGGAAGGAGAGCAACAAACACAAGGAAAACAAUCGUUGGAAAUGGAGAACAUCAUGAGGACACCCACUGUUACUGACUAAUUGCUGGCACGAAAAUGACACUCUGCUUCUUCUUCCCCCGUACUUGGACAAUCGCUCUGGAAUCUCACAGCGAU